rnacentral:ncRNA from 2 species
UGCCCGAAUGGAAACGUUGAUGAGAUGACUGUAUGUGGGCACUUGGUCAUUUCGGAGUGAGUAGUGCAACCGGCCGAGCA